rnacentral:rRNA from 1 species
CCUACGGGAGGCAGCAGUGGGGAAUAUUGCACAAUGGGGGGAACCCUGAUGCAGCGACGCCGCGUGAGUGAAGAAGUAAUUCGUUAUGUAAAGCUCUAUCAGCAGGGAAGAAUAAAUGACGGUACCUGAGUAAGAAGCCCCGGCUAACUACGUGCCAGCAGCCGCGGUAAU